rnacentral:rRNA from 1 species
GCUCAGAUUGAACGCUGGCGGCAGGCCUAACACAUGCAAGUCGAGCGGGGUUUUCGGACCUAGCGGCGGACGGGUGAGUAAUGCGUAGGAAGCUGCCCGAUAGAGGGGGAUACCAGUUGGAAACGACUGUUAAUACCGCAUAAUGUCUACGGACCAAAGUGUGGGACCUUCGGGCCACAUGCUAUUGGAUGCGCCUACGUGGGAUUAGCUAGUUGGUGAGGUAAUGGCUCACCAAGGCGACGAUCUCUAGCUGGUUUGAGAGGAUGAUCAGCCACACUGGAAGUGAGACACGGUCCAGACUCCUACGGGAGGCAGCAGUGGGGAAUAUUGGACAAUGGGCGCAAGCCUGAUCCAGCCAUGCCGCGUGUGUGAAGAAGGCCUUCGGGUUGUAAAGCACUUUCAGCGAGGAGGAAGGGUGGUGUGUUAAUAGCACAUCAUUUUGACGUUACUCGCAGAAGAAGCACCGGCUAACUCUGUGCCAGCAGCCGCGGUAAUACAGAGGGUGCAAGCGUUAAUCGGAAUUACUGGGCGUAAAGCGCACGUAGGCGGUUUUUUAGUCAGAUGUGAAAGCCCCGGGCUCAACCUGGGAAUUGCAUUUGAAACUGGGGAACUAGAGUGUGUGAGAGGGGGGUAGAAUUCCAAGUGUAGCGGUGAAAUGCGUAGAGAUUUGGAGGAAUACCAGUGGCGAAGGCGGCCCCCUGGCACAACACUGACGCUCAGGUGCGAAAGCGUGGGGAGCAAACAGGAUUAGAUACCCUGGUAGUCCACGCCGUAAACGAUGUCUACUAGCUGUUCGUGACCUUGUGUUGUGAGUAGCGCAGCUAACGCACUAAGUAGACCGCCUGGGGAGUACGGUCGCAAGAUUAAAACUCAAAUGAAUUGACGGGGGCCCGCACAAGCGGUGGAGCAUGUGGUUUAAUUCGACGCAACGCGAAGAACCUUACCUACUCUUGACAUCUACGGAAGACUGCAGAGAUGCGGUUGUGCCUUCGGGAACCGUAAGACAGGUGCUGCAUGGCUGUCGUCAGCUCGUGUUGUGAAAUGUUGGGUUAAGUCCCGCAACGAGCGCAACCCCUAUCCUUAGUUGCCAGCGAUUCGGUCGGGAACUCUAGGGAGACUGCCGGUGAUAAACCGGAGGAAGGUGGGGACGACGUCAAGUCAUCAUGGCCCUUUACGAG